rnacentral:lncRNA from 1 species
AAUCAAUCUCAUUGCUUUUGCUAUUGCUUUUCCAAGGAAGCCACCCUAUUCUGCAGCUUACUCCAUUAAUAUUUAUUGCACUGGCAGACUCUGAGCUGCAGCUGUGUUUUGCUUGCAGGUCCCUUAACCCACGUCUCCAAGAGCUACCUCUGCUUUUCAGAUCCCCCAUAAAGAAGCAGCUACUCUGGACCCUGUCACCCACAGCUAUAAUCAGUGUUUGAAUCAGUGCCAGACUUGAGCCACAUGUCCAUCAGUGUUGGGGACAGAUUUCACAUAUGACGAUGAUGAAGACGUCUCCUUGUGG